rnacentral:rRNA from 1 species
ACUCUAAGCGGUGGAUCACUCGGCUCAUGGGUCGAUGAAGAACGCAGCAAACUGUGCGUCAUCGUGUGAACUGCAGGACACAUGAACAUCGACAUUUUGAACGCAUAUCGCAGUCCAUGCUGUUAUGUACUUUAAUUAAUUUUAUAGUGCUGCUUGGACUACAUAUGGUUGAGGGUUGUAAGACUAUGCUAAUUAAGUUGCUUAUAAAUUUUUAUAAGCAUAUGGUAUAUUAUUGGAUAAAUAUAAUAAUUUUUAUUCAUAAUAUUAAAAAAUAAAUGAAAAACAUUAUCUCACAUUUGAAUGUGAAAAACGAAGAGAAAUAUUUUCUUUUUCAAUCAAAUAAUACUGAGAAAUGUCUAGCAUAAAAAAUUGAAAUAUUUUUCAUCUAGAAUUGUCUCUUAUUAAUGAUUCGGAAAUAGAAAAAUCUUGGUUAUGUUAUUAUUCUUCGUUGGUUCGUUAAAAAUGGAUAAAUAAAAACUUUGCAUACAAGAAUUAAUAAAAAUGUUAUAACGAAUUUAAUUAAAUGUUUUAUCAUUAUAUAUAAAGAAUUUAUGGCAAGAUAAAGUUAUAUACAACCUCAACUCAUAUGGGACUACCCCCUGAAUUUAAGCAUAUUAAUUAGGGGAGGAAAAGAAACUAACAAGGAUUUUCUUAGUAGCGGCGAGCGAAAAGAAAACAGUUCAGCACUAAGUCACUUUGUCUAUAUGGCAAAUGUGAGAUGCAGUGUAUGGAGCGUCAAUAUUCUAGUAUGAGAAAUUAACGAUUUAAGUCCUUCUUAAAUGAGGCCAUUUACCCAUAGAGGGUGCCAGGCCCGUAUAACGUUAAUGAUUACUAGAUGAUGUUUCCAAAGAGUCGUGUUGCUUGAUAGUGCAGCACUAAGUGGGUGGUAAACUCCAUCUAAAACUAAAUAUAACCAUGAGACCGAUAGUAAACAAGUACCGUGAGGGAAAGUUGAAAAGAACUCUGAAUAGAGAGUUAAACAGUACGUGAAACUGCUUAGAGGUUAAGCCCGAUGAACCUGAAUAUCCGUUAUGGAAAAUUCAUCAUUAAAAUUGUAAUAUUUAAAUAAUAUUAUGAGAAUAGUGUGCAUUUUUUCCAUAUAAGGACAUUGUAAUCUAUUAGCAUAUACCAAAUUUAUCAUAAAAUAUAACUUAUAGUUUAUUCCAAUUAAAUUGCUUGCAUUUUAACACAGAAUAAAUGUUAUUAAUUUGAUAAAGUGCUGAUAGAUUUAUAUGAUUACAGUGCGUUAAUUUUUCGGAAUUAUAUAAUGGCAUAAUUAUCAUUGAUUUUUGUGUUUAUUAUAUGCACUUGUAUGAUUAACAAUGCGAAAGAUUCAGGAUACCUUCGGGACCCGUCUUGAAACACGGACCAAGGAGUCUAACAUAUGUGCAAGUUAUUGGGAUAUAAACCUAAUAGCGUAAUUAACUUGACUAAUAAUGGGAUUAGUUUUUUAGCUAUUUAUAGCUAAUUAACACAAUCCCGGGGCGUUCUAUAUAGUUAUGUAUAAUGUAUAUUUAUAUUAUUUAUGCCUCUAACUGGAACGUACCUUGAGCAUAUAUGCUGUGACCCGAAAGAUGGUGAACUAUACUUGAUCAGGUUGAAGUCAGGGGAAACCCUGAUGGAAGACCGAAACAGUUCUGACGUGCAAAUCGAUUGUCAGAAUUGAGUAUAGGGGCGAAAGACCAAUCGAACCAUCUAGUAGCUGGUUCCUUCCGAAGUUUCCCUCAGGAUAGCUGGUGCAUUUUAAUAUUAUAUAAAAUAAUCUUAUCUGGUAAAGCGAAUGAUUAGAGGCCUUAGGGUCGAAACGAUCUUAACCUAUUCUCAAACUUUAAAUGGGUAAGAACCUUAACUUUCUUGAUAUGAAGUUCAAGGUUAUGAUAUAAUGUGCCCAGUGGGCCACUUUUGGUAAGCAGAACUGGCGCUGUGGGAUGAACCAAACGUAAUGUUACGGUGCCCAAAUUAACAACUCAUGCAGAUACCAUGAAAGGCGUUGGUUGCUUAAAACAGCAGGACGGUGAUCAUGGAAGUCGAAAUCCGCUAAGGAGUGUGUAACAACUCACCUGCCGAAGCAACUAGCCCUUAAAAUGGAUGGCGCUUAAGUUGUAUACCUAUACAUUACCGCUAAAGUAGAUGAUUUAUAUUACUUGUGAUAUAAAUUUUGAAACUUUAGUGAGUAGGAAGGUACAAUGGUAUGCGUAGAAGUGUUUGGCGUAAGCCUGCAUGGAGCUGCCAUUGGUACAGAUCUUGGUGGUAGUAGCAAAUAAUCGAAUGAGACCUUGGAGGACUGAAGUGGAGAAGGGUUUCGUGUGAACAGUGGUUGAUCACGAGUUAGUCGGUCCUAAGUUCAAGGCGAAAGCCGAAAAUUUUCAAGUAAAACAAAAAUGCCUAACUAUAUAAACAAAGCGAAUUAUAAUACACUUGAAUAAUUUUGAACGAAAGGGAAUACGGUUCCAAUUCCGUAACCUGUUGAGUAUCCGUUUGUUAUUAAAUAUGGGCCUCGUGCUCAUCCUGGCAACAGGAACG